rnacentral:rRNA from 1 species
UACGUAGGGUGCGAGCGUUAUCCGGAAUCAUUGGGCGUAAGGAGCUCGUAGGCGGUUCAGCAAGUCGGCUGUGAAAGUCCGGGGCUCAACCCCGGAAUUGCAGUCGAUACUGCUGUGACUAGAGUCCGGUAGAGGAGAGUGGAAUUCCGAGUGUAGAGGUGAAAUUCGUAGAUAUUCGGAGGAACACCGGUGGCGAAGGCGGCCAGCUGGCCCUGACCUGACGCUGAGGCGCGAAAGCGUGGGGAGCAAACAGG